rnacentral:rRNA from 1 species
GCUUUCCAAGUGGCGCAGGCUUUCGUCUCUCAUGUUUACAAACUCCACGGCCUUCCGGAGUCGAUCGUCUCCGAUCGGGACCCCAUCUUCACAAGUGUGCUGUGGAAGGAGCUUUUCCGGUUGACACACACUCAACUCCGUAUGAGCACUGCUCAUCACCCCCAGACGGACGGGCAAACGGAACGGGUCAACCAGUGCUUGGAGACCUUCCUGCGCUGCUUCGUCCACUCUUGUCCUACCAAAUGGUAUGCAUGGCUCCCUCUAGCUGAGUUCUGGUACAAUACGUCCCCGCACUCAGCUCUU